UUUAUUUUUGCAUUACUGAAUGCAGCCUAAUGUACUGCCUGGCUGUAGCUCUGGGAUGUUAUGUUUUGUUCACAGGAGCCCUGAGGGAAAGCAGAACUCAUUCCUUUCCAUGGGUACACCUUCCUAUUUAAGGCAAAAACAACUAAUAUUUGUGAAAUACCUCAACUGUAAGAUUAAUUUAGGAAGCCAAACUGUUUCAGUACUUAAGUUUAGUCACUGCCUGUUUGAAUGUGUGUGUAUGUAUGUGUCCAUAUUGUUUCAAACAAGUUAAAAAAGAAAAUGCAAUUUUUCCAUUUUAAUUCCUUUUUUGGUUAUUUUCUAA
rnacentral:lncRNA from 1 species